rnacentral:rRNA from 1 species
UACGUAGGGGGCAAGCGUUAUCCGGAUUUACUGGGUGUAAAGGGCGUGUAGGCGGGAAAGCAAGUCAGAUGUGAAAACCACGGGCUCAACCUGUGGCCUGCAUUUGAAACUGUUGAUCUUGAGUACUGGAGAGGCAGACGGAAUUCCUAGUGUAGCGGUGAAAUGCGUAGAUAUUAGGAGGAACACCGGCGGCGAAGGCGGCUUACUGGACUGUAACUGACGUUGAGGCUCGAAGGCGUGGGGAGCAAACAGG